rnacentral:rRNA from 1 species
UACAGAGGUCUCGAGCGUUGUUCGGAUUCAUUGGGCGUAAAGGGUGCGUAGGUGGCGCUGUAAGUCGGGUGUGAAAUCCCUCGGCUUAACCGGGGAACUGCGUCUGAUACUGGAUGGCUUGAGGUUGGGAGAGGGAUGCGGAAUUCCAGGUGUAGCGGUGAAAUGCGUAGAUAUCUGGAGGAACACCGGUGGCGAAGGCGGCAUCCUGGACCAAUUCUGACGCUGAGGAGCGAAAGCCAGGGGAGCAAACGGG